AGGAUUGAGGGGUUGGAAGAGACCUUUAGAACAGCUGGUCGUUAUGCCAACCGGGUGUCCGCACUAAGUUCAGCAUCAAUAUGGUGACCUCCUGGGAGCAGGGGGCCACCAGGUUGCCUAAGGAUGAAUGAACUGGACCAGAUCAGAAAGGGAGCCGGUCAGGACUCCCGCACCAACCGGUAGUGGGACUGUGCCUGGGCAAUAUAGCAAGAUCUUGGUUCUU
rnacentral:sRNA from 1 species